rnacentral:pre_miRNA from 1 species
CGGUGGGUUUUUAGCAAGUAGAAUAGCAGGCUUAUCACAGGUUCCUUUAACCCACUGUGAGAUUCUUCUAUUCUACUUUCGAGAAACACCC